GCUAUUGCUCCACCCCGAGUGCGCCCGAUCUCGACUGAUCUCGGAAGUUAAGCAGGGUUGGGCCUGGUUAGUACUUGAAUGGGAGACCACUGAUUUCUUGAGGAUGGUU
rnacentral:rRNA from 1 species